rnacentral:rRNA from 1 species
AUGGUGACUACAAAGAAGCAUCUUUCUUAUCCUUUAGUAUACCGACUUAUAAAGCUAGCACUUACUUUGCCUGUUGCCAAUGCAACCAUUGAGAGGUGCUUUUCAGCUAUGAAGAUUGUGAAGAAUGCUCUACGGAGCAAAAUUAGUGAUGAUUUUAUGAACCAUAGACUUAUCUGCUUUGUAGAAAAAGAAUUGUUGAACAAAAUUCCAAAUGAAGUGAUAGUUAAAUGUUUUCAUGCGGUGAAAGAACGUUGUGGGAUGAAACGGAAGGUAAUGCUCAGCCUAAAGCUCUUACUGUUUUUUUAA